AGGACACCUCGUUCGGUGAGGCGUCUUCACGGACAAAGGCCACUGAUCCCAUCGGUCGAGAGACCCUCCGGAUCAGGACAGAUCUCCUCGGCUUAAGGGGUGAUCCCAAGUGGCUGCGCAGCUGACGCUACGCCGUGAAGUGCCGAAGCUCUGACGAGAGAGGUGGCCG
rnacentral:sRNA from 23 species